GUCAGGAUGGCCGAGUGGUCUAAGGCGCCAGACUCAAGGCUUAUAACCUUACCUGCCAGUUGGGUGUUCUGGUCCACGAAAGUGGGCGUGGGUUCAAAUCCCACUUCUGACA
rfam:Biomphalaria glabrata isolate BB02 linkage group LG27 unlocalized genomic scaffold LG27_random_Scaffold167, whole genome shotgun sequence.